rnacentral:rRNA from 1 species
GAAGAGAGAGUUCAAGAGUACGUGAAACCGUUCAGGGGUAAACGGAAAAGACUUUAAACACCGAACGGGGAGAUUCACGCUCUCUCGCAAGAGACGGCUCCCGCGAGGUCAGAUGGCAUCGUUCGCCCGCUCGGCGCAAGCCGUUGCGGGGUCGUUUCGGUGGUCACUCGGCGCUCGUGGGGGAUAUGCCGUCCGCGGUGGGCCGCACUUCUCCCUCAUUAGGACGCCGCGACCCGUUAGGCGACGGUCGACGGUCCCGGCGGUAGCCCGAGCCGGUGUCUCCGGACAUCCGACUCGGACCCCGGGUUACCUGGCUGAUCGGAAGACGGUAUGAAACGCAGGUGUUGGACCGCCCCCCAUUUGUCGGGCGUCCGGGCCGGUCGCAAGCUCGUGCGCGCGUUCGGGAUGACGGACUUCGCUCCGGCUCUCGGCCCGUACAGCUGUUGGCGAGCCGCGUCCUCGGACGGGUCUUGUAACACUGGU